rnacentral:rRNA from 1 species
AAAAGGAAGAAAGAGCAUACAGCGGAUGCCUAGGCACUAAGCGCCGAAGAAGGACGCAACUAACGGCGAAACGCUACGGGGAGCGGUAAGUACGCAACGAUCCGUAGGAAUCCGAAUGGGGAAACCCGGCAGUUAGGAGAACUGUCACGCUUAAAAUUUUAAGCGGGGGAACGUAGGGAACUGAAAUAUCUAAGUACCUACAGGAAAAGAAAGUAAAAACGAUUCUGCUAGUAGUGACGAGCGAACGCGGAAGAGCCAGAUUACAAAUGCAGUUACAAAAUUUAUUAAUAGUCGAGCACUUUGGGAAGAGUGACCAAAGAAGGUGAAAGUCCUGUAGACGAAAUUAAUAGAUCUGUGUAGUCAAGAAGUAGGGCGGGACACGAGGAAUCCCGUUUGAAGAUGUGAGGACCAUCUCAUAAGGCUAAAUACGUCUUAGUGACCGAUAGUGAACCAGUACCGUGAGGGAAAGGUGAAAAGAACCCCGGGAGGGGAGUGAAAAAGAACCUGAAACUGUAUGCUUACAAGUAGUUAGAGCUCGUUAAAGAGUGAUAACGUGCCUAUUGCAGAAUGAACCGGCGAGUUAUGAUAUGUAGCGAGGUUAAGCUUGAAGGAGUGAAGCCAAAGGGAAACCGAGUGUUAAGAGCGCGAAUAAGUUACAUAUUGUAGACCCGAAACCAGGUGAUCUAGCCAUGUGCAGGUUGAAGUCUAUGUAAGAGUAGAUGGAGGACCGAACGAGGGAGUGUUACAAAACUCUUCGAUGACGUGUGGCUAGGGGUGAAAAGCCAAACGAACCUGGAGAUAGCUGGUUCUCCCCGAAAUAGCUUUUGGGCUAGCGUUAGUUAAAAAAUAUUUAUGAAGGUAGAGCACUGAAUGUGUGAUGGCCGCACCUCGCGGUACUGAUCUCAAAUAAACUCCGAAUGUCAUAAAUAAAGGCUAGCAGUCAGACUGUGGGUGAUAAGGUUCACAGUCGAGAGGGAAAGAGCCCAGACCGCCAGAUAAGGUCCCUAAAUUUAUGCUAAGUGGCAAAGGAAGUGGAGACGCUUAAACAGCUAGGAGGUUGGCUUAGAAGCAGCCAUCCUUUAAAGAGUGCGUAACAGCCCACUAGUCGAGUGACUUUGCGCCGAAAAUGUACCGGGGCUAAGCAUAAUACCGAAGCUGCGGAUUUAGAAGAAAUUUUAGAUGGUAGGGGAGCGUUCUAUAGGCGAAGAAGGUAGACUGUGAGGACUACUGGAGCGUAUAGAAGUGAGAAUGCCGGUGUAAGUAACGAAAAGAAAGGUGAGAAUCCUUUCCGUCGAAAACCUAAGGAUUCCAGGGGAAGGUUCGUCCGCCCUGGGUAAGUCGGGACCUAAGGUGAGUCCGAGAGGAGUAGCCGAUGGAUAUCAGGUAGAAAAUCCUGAACUAGUAUAUAUACAGAAGUAGUGACAGAGGAGGCUAGGCUUCGCCCCUAAAUGGAUUGGGGUCGAGGUAGCGAGUCUGGGGAGUAGGAAAAUCCGCUUUCCGUUAAAAGAUGAGCUACGUUAGGUAAAGAAGUACGAUGUCAAACUUUCAAGAAAAGCUGCUAUGGUUAAUAUAUAUACUACCCGUACCGUAAACCGACACAGGUAGGAAGGUAGAAAAUACUAAGACGCGCGAGAAAACCCUUGUUAAGGAACUCGGCAAAAUGACCCCGUAACUUAGGGAUAAGGGGAACUUUUAAUGAAAAAAGAAAGUCGCAGAGAAAAGGCCCAAGCGACUGUUUAUCAAAAACACAGGUCUCUGCAAAACCGUAAGGUGAAGUAUAGGGGCUGACGCCUGCCCGGUGCUGGAAGGUUAAGAGGAGAUGUUAGGAAACGAAGCAUCGAAUUGAAGCCCCAGUAAACGGCGGCCGUAACUAUAACGGUCCUAAGGUAGCGAAAUUCCUUGUCGGGUAAGUUCCGACCCGCACGAAAGGCGUAACGAUUUGGGCACUGUCUCAACAAGGGACUCGGUGAAAUCAAGCUGCCGGUGAGAACGCCGGCUACCCGCGACAGGACGAAAAGACCCCGUGGAGCUUUACUGUAACUUGAUAUUGGAAUUUGGUGUAGGAUGUACAGGAUAGGUGGGAGGCAGAGAAGUUAGGACGUUAGUCUUGAUGGAGCCACUGUUGGGAUACCACCCUUCGUACACUGGAUUUCUAACCUGUAGGUGUGUAACCUAGGGGACAGUGUCUGGUGGGCAGUUUGGCUGGGGCGGUCGCCUCCUAAAGAGUAACGGAGGCGCCCGAAGGUUCCCUCAAACUGGUUGGAAAUCAGUUUAAAGAGUGUAAAGGCAGAAGGGAGCUUGACUGCGAGACCAACAAGUCGAGCAGGUACGAAAGUAGGGCUUAGUGAUCUCUCGGUACCGCAUGGAAGGGCCGAGACUCAACGGAUAAAAGCUACCCCGGGGAUAACAGGCUAAUCGCAUCCAAGCGUUCACAGCGACGAUGCGGUUUGGCACCUCGAUGUCGGCUCGUCGCAUCCUGGAGGUGGAGAAGCUUCCAAGGGUUGGGCUGUUCGCCCAUUAAAGCGGCACGUGAGCUGGGUUCAGAACGUCGUAAGACAGUUCGGUCUCUAUCCGUCGUGGGCGUAGGAAAUUUGAAGGGAGCUGUCCUUAGUACGAGAGGACCGGGAUGGACACACCACUGGUGCACCAGUUGGCUUGCCAAGGCCAUAGCUGGGUAGCUACGUGUGGAAAGGAUAAACGCUGAAAGCAUCUAAGCGUGAAGCCCCCCUUAAGAUGAGAUUUCCCACAAUUAAGUUAAGAUCCCUCAAAGACGAUGAGGUUGAUAGGCAGGGUGUGGAAGUGUAGUGAUACACGGAGCUUACCUGUACUAAUAGAUCGAGGACUUUUAUUU